rnacentral:rRNA from 1 species
GAUGAACGCUAGCGGCAGGCCUAAUACAUGCAAGUCGAACGGGAUCUGAGGGUAGCUUGCUACCCGAUUUGAGAGUGGCGCACGGGUGCGUAACGCGUGAGCAACCUACCCAUAUCAGGGGGAUAGCCCGAAGAAAUUCGGAUUAACACCGCAUAAUAAUACGCUAACACAUGUUGAUGUAUUUAAAUAUUUAUAGGAUAUGGGUGGGCUCGCGUGACAUUAGCUAGUUGGUAAGGUAACGGCUUACCAAGGCGACGAUGACUAGGGGCUCUGAGAGGAGAAUCCCCCAAACAGGUACUGGGACACGGACAAGACUCAUACGGGAGGCAGCAGUGAGGAAUAUUGGUCAAUGGGCGCAAGCCUGAACCAGCCAUGCCGCGUGCAGGAUGACUGCCCUAUGGGUUGUAAACUGCUUUUGUUAGGGAAUAAACCUUCUUACGUGUAAGGAGCUGAAUGUACCUAAAGAAUAAGGAUCGGCUAACUCCGUGCCAGCAGCCGCCGUAA